AGGCCUAACACAUGCAAGUCGAACGGCGAGCCGGGGGGUAGCUUGCUACCCUGCCGGCGAGUGGCGGACGGGUGAGUAAUGCCUGGGGAGCUGCCCAAUCGAGGGGGAUACCAGUUGGAAACGACUGCUAAUACCGCAUACGCCCUGAGGGGGAAAAGGUCGGGGAUCUUCGGGACCUACCGCGAUUGGAUGCACCCAGGUGGGAUUAGCUAGUUGGUGAGGUAACGGCUCACCAAGGCGACGAUCUCUAGGCUGGUCUGAGAGGAUGAUCAGCCACACUGGGACUGAGACACGGCCCAGACUCCUACGGGAGGCAGCAGUGGGGGAAUUUUGGACAAUGGACGCAAGUCUGAUCCAGCCAUUCCGCGUGCAGGAUGAAGGCCCUCGGGUUGUAAACUGCUUUUGUACGGAACGAAAAGGUUUCUAUUAAUACUAGGAGCUCAUGACGGUACCGUAAGAAUAAGCACCGGCUAACUACGUG
rnacentral:rRNA from 1 species